UUGGUAUUCAAAGAUUAUUUUCCUUUUGUUUCCUUUCCCCCCUUAUUAUUGUUAUUCUUGUUUAUUUUUAUUUUUUACAAAACAGGAGAAAAGAGUGAACUGGGUUGGGGGGAGGCGACACAUUUCUCCACAAAGGUACAAAAUUGCCUCUAGAAAGUCCACCUCAGAGCGCCAACCCAGGCUUGCCAAGACGAGGCGUCCCUGGGCGUCCCUUCUCUCCCCAGAGGUCCUUCGGAUGCGGUCGGGAACCCACUGUGGGAGUGGUCCCCCAACGUGGGGAGGGGAGGCCUCCCUCAGCCCUUGCCCAGGAGGGGAAAGAGCAAGCAAUUAAGACUAUACAAAGAGCAGGGGGCGCAUCCUGUGGGACACAGGCAGGGAGCGCGUCCUGUGGGACGCAGGCAGGGGACAUCCAAGCAGAGGCCCCUGGGCCUCUGGGCGCACUGACAACGAAGGAGAUGGGAGGCUCUGGCCAGAGUCCUUCCUGUUCCUUGGAGAUGCCCUGCAGAAUGUCAGCAGACAGGCCCCACAAGGGAAGGGCAGCCCCUGGAGCUGAGAACCCCAUCUGUCUUGGUCCAGCUGCCAGGCCUCAAGCAUGCGGUCCAUGUCACUUUCCUGGCAGGGCAUCUGGCCCAGAUUGCUUCCCUUUGGGUAAAAAGUAGUCCUAGUUAUUCCUCUACUGCUGCGAGCGGCUGAGCUUCAGGAAUUUUGCAGCAAUGGUGGUGACAGCAUUUCCCCUUCUGAAGACCUGGACAGCUUCCUUCCUGGGUUCCAGGGCAGGACAAGGGGCGCAGACACCACGCGGACGGAGGGGGUGCUCCAGCCCCAGAAAGCCCAGGCUGGAAGGAGAGCCCGCCCACCCACUCCCUGCCUGGGCUGACCAGUGCCAAGGUGGGCUGCUAGUCCGGCUGCCAACAGGAGGACAGCAAGAGCCAGGAUGGCUAUGAGCCCAGGUCGGUCCCCUAAGGCUCUGUGGCAAGGAGUGGCCUCUUUAGUCCUGGUCCAUACACAUGCCAACUGGGUGUGGGCAUCAGCAAAGGCCACUUGCAGGCAGGCCCAGUACUCUGUGGCCUGAAGGAGGCGGGUGAUGUUGUAGCUGUGGGUGCCCCUCGGCAGGCGGGCCAGAGCAGGGGCGCCCUGGCCCCGGAGGGAGGAGGCGCUGGACCAGGUGAGGUUGGUAGAGACUGUGUUGGGUGGGGGGACCCAAGACAGCAGGAUGUGAUAAGGGUGGGUCUCCUGUACCCGGAGCUCCAGCCCCCAUCCCUUGUCCCGGCCGGGCUGCAGGGGAGCCUGGCCCACAGCCACACUAACCGUCUUACUGUCAGCCCCCACCAGGUUCUGAGCCACACAGGUGUACAGCCCGGCCUCUUCUGCCGUCACCCUCCGCAGCUCUAGGGUCCCCUCGGGGUACACCCGGUACUUCCUGCCCGCUCGGGCAGCUGUGAGUCGCACCCCGGCCGGGGUGACCCAGUAGAUCUCAGGUUCUGGUUCGGCCAGCGCCCGGCAGUGGAGCGCCAGGCUGUCUCCGCUGGCCACCUGCAGGCUGGGAGGGAAGCUGCGGGGGGAGAUGAGGGGCAGGCAGUGGUCCGUCAUCUCCCGGAAGGGUACCUCACGGACGGGGCGGCGCUGGAGGUCCGGCGGCUCGGCGCACAGGGUGGACUGCGGCUCAAUGAAGCGAACGCGGGUGCCCGUGGCAUUGGCCCAGCGGAUGACACAAUCACAGCGGAUGGGGUUGCCAUGGAGACCCACCUCCUGCAGGUUGGGCAGGGACUCCACCGUCUGCUGGUGCAAGGCACUGAGAGCAUUGUUGUUGAGCAUGAGGGUCUCCAUCUGCGGCAGGUGGUGGAAGGCGCGGGGGUGGAUGAAGGACAGCCGGGGGUUGUUGGUGAUGUCCAGUUUGGUCAGCUCGGGGAGGUUGACCAGGGCGAACUUGUCGAUGGAAACCAGCUCCUCCAUGUUGUUCAGCCCCAGCUCCUUGAGGUGCAGCAUGUUGGCAAAGUCCCCGGGCCCCACCCGCUGGAGCGGGUUCUUGUUCAGGUCGAGGAACUUGAGCCCGGGCACCUGCUCCAGGGCCCGCCGGGGCACCCGGGCCAGCUGGUUGUCGUAGAAGGAGAGGCUCUCCAGGCUUUGCAAGCCCUCCAGGGCAUAGUCGGAGAUCUCCCGAAGGUUCAUGCCUGCCAGCACCAGGCUCCGCAGAUUGGCCAGCGGCCGGAAGUUCAUGUCCAGGAUGGCGUCUACCUUGUUGCCACCGAUCAUGAGGAUCUCGAGGUUGGGCAGCAUCUCAAACCAGCGGCUGUCAAUGGCCCUCAGCAGGUUGGAGUUGAGGUGCAGCCGCAGCAGGUUGCCGAGGCCGGCGAAGGCCCGGGGGGCGAUGCGGUAGAGCUGGUUGUGGUUGAGAUAGAGUUCCUGCAGGCUGGCCAGCCCCGCGAAGCUGUGGUCCUCCAGCCGGGUCAGCCGGUUCUCCUCCAGGUGCAGGCUCAGCAGCCGGGGCAGGGCACGGAAAUCACAGUCUCGAGCGUCCGAAAAGCUGUUCUGGGACAGGUCGAGCUCCGUGAGAUUGGCCAGGUAGUUGAGCUCACUCUGGUCCACACGCAUGAUGCUGUUGCUCUGCAGCAGCAAAGUCUGUGUGCCCGCGGGCAGCCCGGGGGGCACGGCCGUCAGGAACAGAUCGUUGCAGUCCACGGUGGUGGCCUCGCGGUAGGACGAUCGGGGCGUAUACCAGGGCCGGAUCUGGCAGGCACACUGAGGAGGGCAGGGCACUCGCCAGGGGACCACGGGCACGGCGGCGGUGGCACUGGCCACCCAAGCUAGCAAGAGGGGGGCCACGAGGAGCCUCAUGAUGGAGCCGCAGGAGGAGUCUGGAGUCCU
rnacentral:lncRNA from 1 species